CCGUUUCUCUCUUCUUCUUCGCGAACUCGAUUCGAUUUCCUCAUCGCAUCGUCGGCUCAGGUUGAAUCAUCUCUUCAUCGGCUCUCACCAAAUCGAAGAUUUCAGACUCGAAAUCGGAGAGUUUCGUUCAAGGAACCUUCAAUACCCUUUGUAUGGUUCCAAGCAAUAGAUGGGUUUCUUUUAGAGCAUUUGCUUGGUUAAUGACUCUGGUUAAUUGAACCAUGAUGUCUCUCAAGUGCUGUGAAAGAUUCAGGAAGCCUUGUAAGAUAAUGGUUUGGUCUCUGUGAAGAUUCAGGUGUUUGAUUGUCUUCGCAUGAAUUUGAUGAUUCCUUUUCAGCAAAGAAGCAAGAUUGGAUGUGGAUGUGUAUGUUAAAUGGCGAAUCUUUAGCAAUGAAGCAAGAUGGGUUUUGGUUUUUGGCAGUUCUCUGUGACAGAACAUUCAACAUACUACUGAUAUGUCUUGGACAUUGAUGCAGUAGGAACAUUCAACAUGUGUCACGCAGCACUAACGUAUCUUAAGAAAGGAGAGACUGGGAGAGACUCAUCAAGUGGUGGUGGUUAGAUUAUGAACAUAAUUCAUGUUUUUUAAGUGGUACUUUGCACUACACGGCUUCUUGGUACCAAAUUCAUGUUUCUGUUGCCAAGGUAAUUUCUUUGUAUGGUUAAAUCAAUAAGUGUGUCUUGAAUUUUGGUUAGGAAAUCAACAACUGAGUUAUAGGAACAAUCAUAAGUUUUGUUUAUGGUGUGUUUUGUUUAGAUUGUGUGUCAAUAUACACAAGUCUUGGACUGUCAAAAUUAAUAUGCAUGGUUCUAAGUUUCUAACU